GUUAAUGUCCUACUUCUGUCCCUUCCAACCCUGAACCUGUGCGCAGAGGCUGUGGUUCUCUGAUUUCCUUUUUUUUUUUUUUUUUUUUUUUUUUUUUUUUUUUUUUUUUUUUUUUUUUUUGGGGGGGGGGGGGGGGGCUGAUUUCCGGGGGGGGGGGGGGGGGGGGUCCUGGGCAGCUCCAAGUGUAUCUUAGCACAUCACUGAAGAACCUUGUCUCCUCCCCAGGGCUCUGAGGGAAGUGGAGCAUCUUACUGUCAGGCUCCGACCAUGUUCCCUCUGCCGGAGCCGUGUCUCAUCAGCACCACAACCCCCAGCGGGUCCAAGGUGAAGGACAAUGGAAAGCUGCAGAGCAGUCUAAGCUCAGACGCACAAAACCAAAGCCGUGAAUUUAACCACACCCGUGGGUUACCAGAAAUAAAACUGCUUCUUGGAGACAGCCACUGAAAAGAAGUCGUCAGUGACGGAAGACAGGCUUUUCAUUCUCCUCGGUGGUUUGCAGCAAAUUCGGAGCAUGCCAGGUCUUCUCUGCAUGUGUUUCUGAGCUGACUACAGAUCUAACAUCAUGAAAGUUCUAGAAUGUUUCUAAAUUGCUAUUUAGUCUUGUUCAUGAUUCCAAACGAAAAGUUCCACGGUAAGGUGCUGUUUUCCCAAGACACUCGGUGGGAGGAACUGCGCAUGAUUUGGGGGAAGAGCUCCAGCAGAUGGAAAAGCUGGCGCCACUAUUUUGAGAAAGACCUCCCUGUUUGUGUGUCGUCUAACCCACAACAAUAUGAACGCCAGGUGAACGGAGGCCUUCACCAAGGCCUGUUUGCGUGCAGGGACAUGCAAACGCGAAAUCUUUGCAGAAGCCACAAAGGAGGAAGCCGAGAUACAACAAGAGAGAGGAAUUUCGGGACAAUAGUCAAAAGGCCAACUUUAAAGAAGCACUGUCCCAAGGCAUUCCGGGUGGUUCUGAGUUGUACCCAACAUUCGCCUUGGUUUCUUCGAGCCUAGACAUCAUCUCUUGAAGUAAAAACCUACAACUCACCCUGGGGCAGAGAUGGCUGUUCUUCAUUCAAACCCACUUCCUCUCCCAGCCCACCUGCAGCCUCCUGACUGCACUCUAGGAGUGCACGAUGAAUCCAGUUCAGGACCCUGACUUCCAAGUGGCAAAUGGCUCCUCUGG
rnacentral:lncRNA from 1 species